UACAGAGGCCUCGAGCGUUAGGCGGAAUCACUGGGCUUAAAGCGUGUGUAGGCGGACUUCUAAGUGCCUUGUGAAAUCCCACGGCUCACCCGUGGAACUGCUGGGCAUACUGGGAGUCUUGAGCCACCUAGGGGCGAGCGGAACAAAUGGUGGAGCGGUGAAAUGCGUAGAUAUCGUCUGGAACGCCGAAGGUGAAAACAGCUCGCUGGGGCUGCGCUGACGCUGAGACACGAAAGCCAGGGGAGCGAGCGGG
rnacentral:rRNA from 1 species